UACAGGGGGUGCAAACGUUGCUCGGAAUCAUUGGGCGUAAAGCGCACGUAGGUGGUCGUUUAAGUUGGAUGUGAAAGCCCUCGGCUCAACUGAGGAAGUGCAUCCAAAACUGAUCGGCUAGAGUAUGAAAGAGGGUCGCGGAAUUCCCGGUGUAGAGGUGAAAUUCGUAGAUAUCGGGAGGAACACCAGUGGCGAAGGCGGCGACCUGGUUCAAUACUGACGCUGAGGUGCGAAAGCGUGGGGAGCAAACAGG
rnacentral:rRNA from 1 species